rnacentral:rRNA from 1 species
UACGGAGGAUCCAAGCGUUAUCCGGAUUUAUUGGGUUUAAAGGGUGCGUAGGCGGCCUAUCAAGUCAGAGGUGAAAGACGGUAGCUUAACUAUCGCAGUGCCUUUGAAACUGGUGGGCUUGAAUGUACUUGAGGUGGGCGGAAUGUGACAAGUAGCGGUGAAAUGCAUAGAUAUGUCACAGAACCCCGAUUGCGAAGGCAGCUCACUAAGUAUGAUUGACGCUGAUGCACGAAAGCGUGGGGAUCAAACAGGAUUAGAUACCCUGGUAGUCCACGCCCUAAACGAUGAAUACUCGAUGUUGGCGAUACACCGUCAGCGUCCACGCGAAAGCAUUAAGUAUUCCACCUGGGGAGUACGUCCGCAAGGAUGAA